GAUAAUGGCUCAGGAUGAACGCUAGCUACAGGCUUAACACAUGCAAGUCGAGGGGCAGCAUGGUCUUAGCUUGCUAAGGCCGAUGGCGACCGGCGCACGGGUGAGUAACACGUAUCCAACCUGCCGUCUACUCUUGGACAGCCUUCUGAAAGGAAGAUUAAUACAAGAUGGCAUCAUGAGCCCGCAUGUUCACAUGAUUAAAGGUAUUCCGGUAGACGAUGGGG
rnacentral:rRNA from 1 species